UUGGUAGAAGCCAAAAUAGCGGCAUAUCACUGUUAAUGAUAAUAUUGAAUUUACUCAUUUCCUACCAAG
rnacentral:tRNA from 1 species